rnacentral:rRNA from 1 species
ACGAACGCUGGCGGCGUGCCUAAUACAUGCAAGUCGAACGGUCUUUCUAUGGAAGCUUGCUUCCACUGAGAAGAUAGUGGCGAACGGGUGAGUAACACGUGGGUAACCUGCCCAUAAGAGGGGGAUGACAUCCGGAAACGGGUGCUAAUACCGCAUAGUUUUCUUGAUCGCAUGAUUGAGAAAGGAAAGACGGCCUUUGUGCUGUCGCUUAUGGAUGGACCCGCGGCGUAUUGGUUAGUUGGUGAGGUAACGGCUCACCAAGACGAUGAUACGUAGCCGACCUGAGAGGGUGAUCGGCCACAUUGGGACUGAGACACGGCCCAAACUCCUACGGGAGGCAGCAGUAGGGAAUCUUCCGCAAUGGACGAAAGUCUGACGGAGCAACGCCGCGUGAGUGAAGAAAGGUUUUCGGAUCGUAAAACUCUGUUGUCAGAGAAGAACAAGUUGGAGAGUAACUGCUCCAGCCUUGACGGUAUCUGACCAGAAAGCCACGGCUAACUACGUGCCAGCAGCGGC